AGGCCUGCUCAAUGAACAAUUUAUAAGCCGCAGUAAUUUAACUGUGCUAAGGUAGCAUAAUCAUUAGCCUCUUAAUUAGAGGCCAGAAUGAAUGGUUUAACAUUUCCUUAACUUUUUUAAAAGUUUAAAAAAAACCUAUAUUAAAUAUAAAAAUAUAUUUAUAUAUUAAUCAGACGACAAGACCCUUUCAAACUUUACUGAAGUUUAGCUGGGGUAGCUCAAUAAUAAUUAUCUUAUAAGUUUUCAUAAAAUAGACCCAAUAUUAAAUUGAUUAAAUGAACAAGUUACUGAAGGGAUAACAGCAUAAUAAAUUUAUACAGAUCUUAUUAAAAAAUUAGUUUAUGACCUCGAUGUUGAAUUAUUUUACUUCUACACGCAAGAGUGUAGAAAGGAGGUCUGUUCGACCUUUAAAUUUUUACAUGAUCUGAGUUCAAACCGGAGGAGG
rnacentral:rRNA from 1 species